UAUUGAUUAUUGAGAUCUUCAUUGAGCCCACUUCUCAUCUUCAGAGUCUGCCAGUGUUUCUCUCCACAGAGCUGAGCGUCUCGUUAGCAGCCCUCUCCCCUUUAUCACCCCCGCCACCCUGAAACGCACGACAUUCAGCAUCACAGCAGCAGCACUUCAAACACUCUGCAGCCACGGGGCUCCGGCUCGUCACUGCAUUUUUAAUUAGACGGGAACGGAUCCCCCGCUGAAGCGACGGAGUUCACCGGAGUUCACCGGCAGGUCGUCGUUUGAUGUUUCCUCGCCGCUGCCAGAGCUUCCUGUUUCCCCUGAGCUAACGGAGGAGCUCCCAUCCACAUAACUCCUCAGCCAGCAUCUCUUUUGUCAGCCGUUUCAUUCAAUCAUUAAGUGUGAAAUAGCUAUGAGUCAAAGUCACCUGUGAGAGCCAACAAAAUGGCUUCUGUCUUCUGGAAGGAGCAGAACUGUGAUGUGAUGGACCGCCUGGAAAUGAAAAAGGCCCAAGGCGAGACUCCAGGACGCCGCCUCCACGUCCACAGACAGAUUACAGACCUUGAUGGUGGACGCUCAGCAGGAAGACUUUAAACCUGAUCAGGCAGCUCACCUGAGGACAUUCAUAUACAGCAACACACUACAGAGAGUCUCUUUUGUUGUUGAUGAAAAUAAUAAGUGUGUGUUCAGAAAGAAAAUAAACAUUUGUUAGCAGGCUGUGUAUGUUUGAACAUUGUUUCUUUUAAUUUUAGUGUUUGGUGGCUUUUAUAUAUACUGCUUUGUCUGCAGGAAGAAAGCUGGAGACAAAGUUUCCAAAUAAUCUCAACUUUAUACAAAAACAACUGAAGGAAAGUUGAAACUGUCAGAGAGAAAAAUAUUGUAAACCUUUACUGAGACUCAGUGUUUCUGCAUGGAGUGUAAAUAAUGAACAGAAUAAAAUCUUCAUUACUGUGCAA